ACAGGGAUUGCCCUAGUAACGGCGAGUGAAGCGGCAUCAGCUCAAAUUUGAAAUCUGGCUCUUUCAGAGUCCGAGUUGUAAUUUGCAGAGGGCGCUUUGGUGUCGGCAGCGGUCCAAGUUCCUUGGAACAGGACGUCACAGAGGGUGAGAAUCCCGUACGUGGUCGCUGACCUACACCGUGUAAAGCCCCUUCGACGAGUCGAGUUGUUUGGGAAUGCAGCUCUAAAUGGGAGGUAAAUUUCUUCUAAAGCUAAAUACUGGCCAGAGACCGAUAGCGCACAAGUAGAGUGAUCGAAAGAUGAAAAGCACUUUGGAAAGAGAGUCAAACAGCACGUGAAAUUGUUGAAAGGGAAGCGCUUGCAGCCAGACUUGCUUGUAGUUGCUCAUCCGGGCUUUUGCCCGGUGCACUCUUCUGCGAGCAGGCCAGCAUCAGUUUGGACGGUUGGAUAAAGGUCUCUGUCACGUACCUUCUCUCGGGAAGGCCUUAUAGGGGAGGCGUCAUGCAACCAGUCUGGACUGAGGUCCGCGCAUCUGCUAGGAUGCUGGCGUAAUGGCUGUAAGCGGCCCGUCUUGAAACACGGACCAAGGAGUCUAACAUCUAUGCGAGUGUUUGGGUGUCAAGCCCGAGCGCGUAAUGAAAGUGAACGGAGGUGGGAUCCCGCAAGGGUGCACCAUCGACCGAUCCUGAUGUCUUCGGAUGGAUUUGAGUAAGAGCAUGGCUGUUGGGACCCGAAAGAUGGUGAACUAUGCUUGAAUAGGGUGAAGCCAGAGGAAACUCUGGUGGAGGCUCGCAGCGGUUCUGACGUGCAAAUCGAUCGUCAAAUUUGGGCAUAGGGGCGAAAGACUAAUCGAACUAUCU
rnacentral:rRNA from 1 species